UACGGAGGGUGCAAACGUUGUCCGGAAUUACUGGGCGUAAAGCGCAUGUAGGUGGUCAUGUAAGUCAACGAUGAAAGACCGACGCUUAACGUCGGGAACGUUUUUGAUACUGCAUGACUGGAGGAAACCAGGGGUACGCGGAACUUUGAGUGUAGGAGUGAAAUCCGUAGAUAUUCAAAGGAACACCAAUGGCGAAGGCAGCGUACUGGGGUUUUUCUGACACUGAGAUGGUCGAAAGCGUGGGGAGCGAACAGG
rnacentral:rRNA from 1 species